rnacentral:rRNA from 1 species
AACGAACGCUGGCGGCAGGCUUAACACAUGCAAGUCGAACGCCCCGCAAGGGGAGUGGCAGACGGGUGAGUAACACGUGGGAACAUGCCCAAAGGUACGGAACAACUCCGGGAAACUGGAGCUAAUACCGUAUGUGCCCGAAAGGGGAAAGAUUUAUCGCCUUUGGAUUGGCCCUCGUCGGAUUAGCUAGUUGGUGGGUUAAAAGCCUACCAAGGCGACGAUCCGUAGCUGGUUUGAGAGAACGACCAGCCACACUGGGCCUGAGACACGGCCCAGACCCCGACGGGAGGCAGCAAUGGGGAAUCUUGGACAAUGGGCGCAAGCCUGAUCCAGCCAGGCCGCGUGGAUGAUGAAGUCCUUAGGGUUGUAAAAUCCUUUCGGCUGUGAAGAUAAUGACAGUAGCAGAAGAAGAAGCCCCGGCUAAAUUCGUGCCAGCAGCCGCGGUAA